UACGGAGGGUGCGAGCGUUGUCCGGAAUCACUGGGCGUAAAGGGCGCGUAGGCGGCGCGGGCAGUCAACGGUGAAAGCUUGGGGCUCAACCCCGAGUCGGCCGUCGAUACUCCCGUGCUUGAGCACUGUAGAGGCAGGUGGAAUUCCGGGUGUAGCGGUGGAAUGCGUAGAGAUCCGGAAGAACACCGGUGGCGAAGGCGGCCUGCUGGGCAGUAGCUGACGCUGAUGCGCGACAGCGUGGGGAGCAAACAG
rnacentral:rRNA from 1 species